GUGAUUCCUAUAAUUAAUGAAGUCAAUCAUCCCCAAGAACUGUAUCUGGUAAGUUCACCUGCUAUCCAGCCAGAACCUGCCUUGGCUCAAGAUGUUCCAGUNNNNNNCAAGAACUGUAUCUGGCACUUCAAGAAGAAUCUCCUAUUCCAACUGUAUCUGCUAGAUUGCAUGAUGGAAUUGCAUCAGGAAGUGGAAAUAAUAAUUCGCUG
rnacentral:misc_RNA from 1 species